AGUAAAAUCUGUCUAGCACAAUAUGGUAUCCAGCUCAUCAUACUCUAUACCAGACUGCUGGGCAGGACAGGUUUAAAGAAAAAAAAAACAGACUGGAAGAAGCUGGUCUGAAGUUGUCAAUAGACAAAUGCCAGUUCUACAGGUCCCAAGUUACCUACGUGGGACACAUUGUGUCAGAGAAAGGAAUCUCUACAGUACCAGCCAAAGUUGAAGCAGUAGCCCAAUGGAAACAGCCCACUGACCUCACGUCAUUGCAGUCCUUCUUGGGGUUCUGUAGGUACUACCGUCGUUUCAUAAAUAACUACUCCAUCAUAGUUCGACGUCUCACUCAGCUCUGCAAGGGUUACCCUCCAACCCAAAAGAAGAGGAAAGUAGCCAAGGCAACAGAAAAGACGUACUACAAAGUAAGUGAACCCUUUGGGGACAGAUGGGAUCAGUCAUGCACCGAGGCCAUCAAGAAGAUCAUUCACUGCCUAACCACCGCACCUGUUUUAGCAUUCGCUGUGUUGAACAUAGAUGCAAGUUUUAAUGGCUUAGGGGCCAUGCUCAACCAAGAAAACCCAGAAGGGCUGAGGCCAGUCGCUUUUGCUAGCAGGAAGCUGAGUUCCUCUGAGAAGAACUACCCAGUGCAUCAGCUGGAAUUCCUGGCACUUAAGUGGGCGGUGGUUGAUAAGUUUCUUGAUUAUCUGUAUGGAGCCAGUUUCACGGUGAGGACAGAUAACAACCCACUGGCGUAUAUAUUCUCACCACUGCUAAGCUAAAUGCAUCUGGUCAUCGUUGGCUUGCAUUUCUCUACAUACAACUUCACCAUUCAGUACCGACCAGGAAGUAGCAACAUUGACGCUAACUCAUUGUCACGUAACCCACUUUCUGACAAUGAGAUUGAGUGGCAAAACAUCUUACUUGAAAGUGUCAAAGCUCAUUGCAAACAGAUUGGAUGUGGAAAGGCAACUGGAGAGUUCAUUACAGUGCAGAGUUAUUAGAGGUUUCCCCGGAAGCCACCCCUGAGUGUUAUGUGUUUCCUGUACAUUUGGAUUUUGGUUGUCUGACACAGAUAAGCCGCAACAACCUUGUCAAAGCCCAAGACAUAGACCCAGUAAUCUCCCCGGUGAAGAAAGCAGUCAGAGAAGGACAUCCGUUUCACUCAGUCAAGGGUGAGGACUCUGGAGUCGCACAAUUGCUGAGAGAGGCAAACAAGUUGCUGAUGGCUGAUAACCUUCUCUACAGAGUAACCAAAAGACCAUCUGGUACUGAAGUACACCAACUUGUCCUUCCCAAUGAGUAUGUUCCCAUUGUGCUUAGAUCCCUCCAUGACGAGUCAGGGCAUCUGGGAGUGGAAAAGACAGUUGAAAUCAUCUGAGAUCGGUUCUGCUGGCCUAGGUGGGACAGUAUGUCAAGAACUGUGGCAGAUGUGUUGCACGAAAGACAGCACCUCAGAUCACCUUUAAAUCAGAUCACCAGUAAAGGCCCACUCGAUCUGCUUUGCAGUGAUUUUUUUAUCCCUUGACCCUGAUUCUCAGGGAUUUGCAAAUAUCCUUGUUGUGACUGAUCAUUUUACCAGAUACGCACAAGCGUUUCCUGCAAAGGAUCAAAGAGCUUCAACAGUUGCCAAGAUUCACUGUGAGCGGAAUUUUGUGCAUUAUGGACUCCCUGCAUGGAUACACUCAGAUCAAGGGCGAGAUUUUGAAAGUAAACUCAUCCAAGACCUUCUGAAAAUGUUAGGGAUCCAUAAGUCUAGGACAUCACCAUACCAUCCUCAGGGGGAUCCACAACCUGAACGAUUUAAUCGCACCCUCCAUGCUUGGGACUGGAUCCAAAUCAAAAGCAAAAGUGGAGUCAGAAAAUCAGUCAUUUGGUGCACGCCUAUAAUUGCACCUGAAAUGAGGCAACUGGCUACUCCCCUUAUCUGCUGAUGUUUGGAAGAGAAGCUCGCCUACCAGUAGACAUCUGUUUUGGAGUAUCAGCACAGAGUGAAAAAGGUGUGACGUACCAGCAGUAUGUUACUAAGUUGAAAACAGAUCUUCGCAAAGCAUACCAACUCGUUACAGAAGCUGCUGACAAGAAUCACAUGAGAAAAAAAAUGCACAUGACAAGUUAGUGAAAGAGCAAGUCUUAGAAGAGGGAGACCGAGUGCUGUUGAGAAACUUCGGUGUCACUGGGAAGCACAAGCUGAAGGACAAAUGGAUGGAUGGAUACACCAUGGUUGGAAAGAUGCCAAACCUCCCAGUCUAUAAAGUGAAACCAGAAAGGGGCAUUGGAGUGGUGAAGACAGUACACCGCAAUCAUCUGUUACCUGCUGGCUAUCUAGUGAGACUGCCUGCAGAUAGUGUAAGUGGACGUUACUUUGCUUGCGUCAUUAUUAUGAGUUAGUCAUGUCCGGGUCAAAGAUGUGCCCCGGAACUGAUCUAAACAAGCUCAGUGGCUCCGCUCGCGAGCGAUACAUCCACACCGGAGCAGGAACCGUUUGCCGCAUGCAGUAUGUUGUCUAAAGGAAUGGCGAUGAUUAAAUGAAGUUACCCAACCUUCUGUUAAAUGUUUGUACCCUUGGUAAGCGGAGCGAGGUACGUGUGUAUUUUAACUUGUUGUUGAUGUUGCGAAGAAAUGAUUAUGUGUAAUGCUAAUUCAAGUAGUGUGGAAGAUGUGUCUUUGAUGCGUGUAUUGUUGAUUUAUUGUGGCUUUGUUUGUUUUAGUUUCAUGGUGCAUGAUGGAACAAUAAAGAUAUUGCACCGACCGAACUCUACGCGGGUUUAUUGAUGCCAAGGGCUGCUACAGAUAGUGAUGAGCCAGAGUUACCACAGAGGCCGGUGACUAGGACACAGCAGAGAUGGACUCAGAGUUCUAUGACAAUUAUCAGUAAUGGAGACGAUUCUCCCUCUUCAGAGUCUGAUUAUGAGGACGGACAUCCACCAACACCACUAACAUUGGAGUGGAGAGAUCUUUUAUCACAGCCAGAGUCUGUCAUAAGAGAACCAACUUGAGUCAUAGAGGAUGUUGCUGCACCAGCUAGAGGCUUGGCUGAAGUUGAUCCGAGUCUAGAGACCGUUGACAUCCCAGAUGUUCAUCUACCCACCUCUCCUGAUCCAGAUGCGGACAGAGAGUUAGAAGGGGGAGAAGAUGUAAAUGAAAAUGAGCUUCAGGUGAAAUGCUCAAAAAAAACCCUCUGACCAGCGAUUGAACAUCUUAAGUCACGGUGUGUUUGUUGAAAGCGCCACCUACAAAGUGCCAAAAUUCCACCUAUGCCAAACAGCCUGGUGUCACUCUGACAUUGUGUCCUGAUUGUUUCAAUAGAAAGAAUUUUAAUCAGUACAAACAGAUCCAGGUUAUCUGAACCCCGAGUUUGAUGGGGACAUCAAACAUUUUAGAAGGGGGAGGGUGUAGCCCUGGUGUAAAAUAUAGGGAUUAAAAUAAGUUAGUUCCUAGUAAAGGCAGAAUAAAAUAAUUCAGUAUGGAAAUUAACCUAAAAAGGAAUUUAGUUUAAUAAGGAAAGAGUAAUGCUUCGCUCAGAUAUUAAGAUAAUUUAGUCAUAAAUGAGAUCAAAAUGUAAAUAUUUGCAAAAUAAACUUUUCUGUGUGUUUAUUGAGGUAAACAGUAAGGUAAACUGAAGGGAAAAAAUACUGAUUGUUCCUUUAUUUUCAGCGGUUGAUGUUGACAUUAUUUGAUUAGUUGCUGCGGGUGUCAGUCAGUGUCACUUGUGGUGAUUGGCUGUAACUAAGAAAAUGAGCUGGACUGGGUGGGAAAGAAAAAACGGAAGAGACGAGGGAAAAAAGACGCGAGACAGAGACGGGAGAGACACGAAGUAGGAGAGGUGACCACGGAGCUGGAGAAAAGUUGCGAAACUUACAGAUAUGUAGUUUGUUGAAUGUUUAUUAUUAUGUUUAUAGCUGAGGACAGUAAAGCACAGUACUCACUUAAACGCAGUGUGUUAGAGCGCAAGUUUAGUGCAAGUGGGGCUGGGCUAACUGAGCUAACGUCGGCGAGCCACUGUAGCAGAGGACGGCAUUGCUGAUCUUGGACUGUUUGGAGUUUCCGCACGAGGAUCUAACGAGGACUUCGCCUCCGCUGCCGUUUGGAUUCAUCUUUUCAUCGCUUCCUGCUCUGUUACUUCUGGACGGACGCUGAACUAUGGCGCUAACUUUCCUCCUAAAGUACUGCCCUGAGAAGACAUACAGCAGUGGGUUCAGGACACUGUUGAGAAAGGCAAGAUACACUGAAACCUGCCCCCCCAUGUCGAGAAUGUGGGACCACAGCAUCUCAUUCAACACUUGGACAUCACACAGUGUGUCAAGGAAAGUGAACACCUGAAACGGACCCCAACACAGUAAGAAUAAUAGUGUGACGGCAUACACAA